rnacentral:lncRNA from 1 species
CAAUGCACAGGCCUGGAUAUAGAGAGAGGAGAGGCUGCGCAGAGGACACCCAAAAAAUGAUCUCCAGGUUCUACCUCUUCAACCCAAACGACCCCUCGCCGGAAAACCAGUCACCCAGCAACGCCCUUACCCCUAACGAACACAUUGAUGCACCCUAGCUUAUUUCGACCACAACCUGCUCGAAACACACAAGCACAAAAGCAGAAAAAGGGAACAAAAUCAAACAGAAUUUUGGACGAGAACUAGGGACAGAGAAUCUUAGCUCUUCUUCGUUCCAAUUUGGGUCUCAAAUUCGAAAACAAAAACGAAAAUGAAUUCAAUUUCUGUUUUGAUUUUCCUUCAUGGAAAUCGUUUGAGUUUGUUGGUCUGAGUUUGUUGUUUCGAGUUCGAUUAAGGUGUGGUUGUUCAAGGUGUUAGUCGAGGUCGAGUUUGGCCAGAGUUAAUUCUCUUGCAAUUCUUCGUGUGUGUCGCAUCGACUGUUGCUCCGAUGUCGCCAUUGCUGUGAUAUUGGCAUCAUUUUAGUUCGAGGGUGACGAGUCGAGUUAUCAUCUGUUUCUCUGUUGUUCAUCUCCAUUUUCCAUUAUCGGAUUCAAUUGUAUUUGAUUCCAAGAAAGAUUAAUCGAAAGUCUCGCGCCUUAGGUCCGUUCGAUCUUCUCUUCAUUAUUAUGUUAGCUUGAUGCCGUGUAUUAGGUGACUUUGGUAGUCUUAUUAUUGUUUGUGUACUGAUUGUUUGAGCUAGUAUUUCAUAGUUAUAUUUUGUGGAUUAUUUUGUUUGCUUGGCCUUUCAUGAAUGUGGAUGCCAUUGUUAAGGUCGAUCUGAUUCCAUGAGCAUGUGAAGUUGAUCAUAGGAAUCUGGAAUAGCAUAAGGAAUAUGGAACAUUAAGAGAAGUGAAGGAGUUAGUGCUAAGAGUCCUAUUUGCUUAACACGCUAGUGCAUAUUGGAAAGUUCGGGAGGUAAUGAGCCCGUAUAAUUGUAGUUUAUGUCAAUCUUUUUGAUUUUGUUCGUAGUUUUUUAUAUAGAUAUACUCCGGGAGGUAAUGAGCCCGUAUAAUUGUAGUUUAUGUCAAUCUUCUUGAUUUUGUUCUCAGUUUUUUUAUAUAGAUAUAUAUAUCUUCCUCUAGUAUAAAUGAAGGUCUGCAAUAAGCUAUUUCGGUAACAUAAAGAUCUCUUGUCGUUGAAUUUGGAUGCUUUGGACACGCACAUCUGGAUAUGUGUAUUUAGCUAUUUGGAGGGCUUUGGUAAAAUACAGUUAUAUGCUUUUGUCGAAUGAGCAUUUUUAAGGCAUAGUAAAUUGUCGAUGCACUGAGAAAUCAUGGUCUGCCAAAAGUUUCAAUGGUCAGAUCAUGAAAAUUGAAUACAUUAUUACUUUAUUUUGGUUUAACUUCAAGUUUUAGAAGAUUGAAUUUUGUUUGU